GACGAACGCUGGCGGCGUGCCUAAUACAUGCAAGUAGAACGCACAGUUUAUACCGUAGCUUGCUACACCAUAGACUGUGAGUUGCGAACGGGUGAGUAACGCGUAGGUAACCUGCCUGGUAGCGGGGGAUAAAUAUUGGAAACGAUAGCUAAUACAGCAUAAUAUUAAUUAUUGCAUGAUAAUUAAUUGAAAGGUGCAAUUGCACCGCUACCAGAUGGACCUGCGUUGUAUUAGCUAGUAGGUGAGGUACGGAACACCUAGGCGACGAGACAUAGCCGACCUGAGAGGGUGAUCGGCCACACUGGGACUGAGACACGGCCCAGACUCCUACGGGAGGCAGCAGUAGGGAAUCUUCGGCAAUGGACGAAAGUCUGACCGAGCAACGCCGCGUGAGUGAAGAAGGUUUUCGGAUCGUAAAGCUCUGUUGUAAGAGAAGAACGGGUGUGAGAGUGGAAAGUUCACACUGUGACGGUAUCUUACCAGAAAGGGACGGCUAACUACGUG
rnacentral:rRNA from 1 species